rnacentral:rRNA from 1 species
GAUGAACGCUGGCGGCAGGCUUAACACAUGCAAGUCGAGCGGGGACUUCGGUCCUAGCGGCGAACGGGUGAGGAAUGCUUGGGAAUCUGCCCAGUAGCGGGGGAUAACGUUUCGAAAGGAACGCUAAUACCGCAUACGCCCUACGGGGGAAAGGGGGGGAUCUUCGGACCACUCACUAUUGGAUGAGCCCAAGUCGGAUUAGCUAGUUGGUGGGGUAAAGGCCUACCAAGGCGACGAUCCGUAGCUGGUCUGAGAGGAUGAUCAGCCACACUGGAACUGAGACACGGUCCAGACUCCUACGGGAGGCAGCAGUGGGGAAUAUUGGACAAUGGGCGAAAGCCUGAUCCAGCCAUGCCGCGUGCGUGAAGAAGGCCUUCGGGUUGUAAAGCACUUUAAGCGAGGAGGAAUGGCUCUUGGCUAAUAACCUUGAGCAGUGACGUUACUCGCAGAAUAAGCACCGGCUAACUCUGUGCCAGCAGCCGCAGUAAAAC